rnacentral:rRNA from 1 species
UCGAGAAUCUUCGGCAAUGCGCGCAAGCGUGACCGAGCGACGCCGCGUGCGGGAUGAAGGCCUUCGGGUUGUAAACCGCUGUCAGAGGUUAGGAAAUCCUUGAGGGUUAUCCCUCUUGGUUGACCGACCCUCAGAGGAAGCACGGGCUAAGUUCGUGCCAGCAGCCGCGGUAACACGAACCGUGCGAACGUUAUUCGGAAUCACUGGGCUUAAAGAGUGCGUAGGCGGCCUGGAAGGUGAGGUGUGAAAGCCCUCGGCUCAACCGAGGAAUUGCGCUUCAAACCACUAGGCUUGAGGGAGACAGAGGUGAGCGGAACUGAUGGUGGAGCGGUGAAAUGCGUUGAUAUCAUCAGGAACACCGGUGGCGAAAGCGGCUCACUGGGUCUCUUCUGACGCUGAGGCACGAAAGCUAGGGUAGCGAACGGGAUUAGAUACCCCCGUAGUCC